UACGGAAGGCAGCAGUGGGGAAUAUUGCACAAUGGGCGAAAGCCUGAUGCAGCUAUGCCGCGUGUAUGAAGAAGGCCUUAGGGUUGUAAAGUACUUUCAUCGGGGAGGAAAAACAAAACUAAUAAUUUUAUUUCUUGACGUUACCCGAAAAAGAAGCACCGGCUAACUCCGUGCCAGCAGCCGCGGUAAUACGGAGGGUGCUAGCGUUAAUCAGAAUUACUGGGCGUAAAGAGCACGUAGGUGGUUUUUUUAAGUCAGAUGUGAAAUCCCUGGGCUUAACCUAGGAACUGCAUUUUGAAACUGAAAUACUAGAGUAUCGUAGAGGGAGGUAGAAUUCUAGGUGUAGCGGUGAAAUGCGUAGAUAUCUGGAGGAAUACCUGUGGCGAAAGCGGCCUCCUAAACGAAUACUGACACUGAGGUGCGAAAGCGUGGGGAGCGAAACAGGGAUUAGAUACCC
rnacentral:rRNA from 1 species